UUCUAGAUCUGAGUAUAUCAAUAUUACCUUGUUCAGAACUUAAAGAGAAAUCUUGAGUUUAUGGACUUCAGGGGGAGUAUGGUCACAAGGCUGAAACUUAAAGGAAUUGACGGAAGGGCACACCAGGAGUGGAGCCUGCGGCUUAAUUUGACUCAACACGGGAAAACUCACCAAGACCGAACAGUAGAAGGAAUGACAGAUUAAGAGUUCUUUCAUGAUUUAUUGGGUAGUGGUGCAUGGCCGUUCUUAGUUGGUGGAGUGAUUUGUCAGGUUAAUUCCGGUAACGAACGAGACUGAAACCUAUUAAUUAGUUUUCUGCCUAUAAGACAGAAAUGUUCGCAAGAACAGGUGCGUAAGUACCACUUCUUAAAGGGACACAUUUCAAUUGUCCUAUUUUAAUUGUAGUUAUCUAAUUUCGGUAAGAC
rnacentral:rRNA from 1 species